GUCAUGGGAAUUUCCAUUCCUGGAAGUGAACAGUCAUGGGGUACGGCUUUCUCGCGCUCAUCCUCUCGCCGAUCACGCGCGAGGUGAUCUGGAGGUCGCGCUGCAGGUGCUACACUCAGGAUGAGCACACGUGUGGAAGUUAGUCACACACAGCUGUCAAAUUACAGCCCAGAGACUGACAGAUCCGCCCUUCCCUUUACAGACGGGAGCUGUACGGUGUGGCGCUAAGCUAAUGAGAAAGCGGUACCUGUGAGAGGCGGGGUGAGGAACACGACCAGAACCACCAGCGAGAUAUUUGUUACAAACGUGAGGACGAAAUCAGCGCGAGGGGAAAUAACAGAGCGGAAACGCGUCUGCGAUAGCCACGGGCUGGGUGUGUGUUCUUAUUUAUCCCUCACUAAUGUACUGGUGUCGAUGGUAUUUAGUGCGAACGCUGAAAAGACUUUACAUGAAUUAAAAAAUAAUAAUAACUUGAUUAUAAAUAAAAGACAGUGAUUCUAACUGAUCUGAAGAUGUGACGUGGUCUUAAAGAAACUGAGCUGCACGGACAGCUACGACAACGCUCGUAAACAGAUCAUCUCCUGUAAAAGGACGAGCAGAGAGACGACCCGUGUCCUCCGUUUCUAAUCACAGCACAGGAUACAGGGCCAACAGCUCAUCUCUCGGAGCGCCGUCCUCCAAAACACACGCAGACCCAUGGAGAAGAUCUACAGUGCCCUUCUAUCCAGAGCUGUUCUUCCAUCCUGUGUCUGUCUUCCUCUCUCUGUCUUUCUCCCUCAGUCUCUCUCACUUUCCCAGCAUCUCUCCCAGUCUCUCUCUCACCAGUGUCUCUCCCCCAGUCUCUCUUACUUUCCCAGUGUCCCUCUCACUUCCCCAGUGUCUCUCCCCCAGUCUCUCUUACUUUCCCAGUGUCUCUCCCCCAGUGUCUCUCUCCCAGUCUCUCUUACUUUCCCAGCAUCUCUCCCAGUCUCUCUCACUUCCCCAGUGUCUCUCCCCCAGUGUCUCUCUCCCAGUCUCUCUUACUUUCCCAGUGUCUCUCUCCCAGUCUCUCUUACUUUCCCAUGUCCUCUCCCAGUCUCUCUUACUUUCCCAGUGUCCUCUCCCAGUCUCUCUCUCACUUCCCCAGUGUCUCUCCCCCAGUGUCUCUCUCCCAGUCUCUUACUUUCCCAGUGUCUCUCUCCCAGUCUCUCUUACUUUCCCAGUGUCUCUCUCCCAGUCUCUCUUACUUUCCCAGUGUCUCUCUCCCAGUCUCUCUCUCACUUCCCCAGUGUCUCUCCCCCAGUCUCUCUUACUUCCCAUGUCUCUCUCCCAGUCUCCCUCUCACUUCCCCAGUGUCUCUCUCUCACAGUCUCUCUUACUUUCAGUGUCUCUCUCCCAUUCUCUCUCUUUACUUUCCCAGUGUCUCUCUCCCAGUCUCUUACUUUCCCAGUGUCUCUCUCUCUCUCUCAGUCUCUCUCUUACUUUCAGUGUCUCUCUCAUUCUCACUUACUUUCCCAGUGUCUCUCUCCCAGUCUCUCUCUCACUUCCCCAGUGUCUCUCUCACAGUCUCUCUCUUACUUUCAGUGUCUCUCUCCCAGUCUCUCUUACUUUUCCCAGUGUCUCUCUCCCAGUGUCUCUCUCCCAGUCUUUCUCUUACUUUCCCAGUGUCUCUCUCUCCCAAUAAUUCUCUCUCCUAGUCUCUUACUUUCCAGUGUCUCCCUCUCACUUCCCCAGUGUCUCUCUCUCUCCCAGUCUCUCUUACUUUCAGUGUCUCUCUCCCCAUUCUCUCUCUUACUUUCCCAGUGUCUCUCUCCCAGUGUCUUACUUUCCCAGUCUCUCGCUCACUUCCCCAGUGUGUCUCUCUUACUUUCCCAAUGUCUCUCUCUCACUUCCCCAGUGUCUCUCUCUCCCUGUCUGUCUCUCACUCCAGUCUCUCACUUUCCCAGCAUCUCUCCCUCCCAGUAUCUCUCUCCCCGUUUCUCUCUCUC
ensembl:lncRNA